CUGUAACUAGUAGCGGUCACGUGUUCUACCUACUCUAAGAGCGCGCCGCGGGUAUCGGGCGCGCUCUUAAAGGGACAGUGGGUGCCUAAAUUGGAAAAGGCAUCCCAUUGGUCCAAUCAAAUUAGAUGUUUAGGUAUUUAUACUCACCUUCUUUCUUUUGUUCCUUGCCCUAUCGUGGUUUCUGUAUCAGUUCCCUUUAGCGCUUGUUGUGUUCAGUUGUGUUUCUCC